UACGUAGGGGGCAAGCGUUGUCCGGAAUCAUUGGGCGUAAAGAGCGUGUAGGCGGCUCGGUAAGUCCGCUGUGAAAGUCCAGGGCUCAACCCUGGAAUGCCGGUGGAAACUGUCGAGCUAGAGUCCGGAAGAGGCGAGUGGAAUUCCUGGUGUAGCGGUGAAAUGCGCAGAUAUCGGGAGGAACACCUAUGGCGAAGGCAGCUCGCUGGGACGUUACUGACGCUAAGGCGCGAAAGCGUGGGGAGCGAACAGG
rnacentral:rRNA from 1 species